rnacentral:rRNA from 1 species
UACGUAGGGUGCAAGCGUUAAUCGGAAUUACUGGGCGUAAAGGGCGCGUAGGCGGCUUGUCAAGUCACUUGUGAAAUCUCUGGGCUUAACCCAGAACGGCCAAGUGAAACUGUCAUGCUAGAGUGCAGAAGGGGCAAUCGGAAUUCUUGGUGUAGCGGUGAAAUGCGUAGAUAUCAAGAGGAACACCUGAGGUGAAGACGGGUUGCUGGGCUGACACUGACGCUGAGGCGCGAAAGCCAGGGGAGCAAACGGG